CCUACGGGCGGCAGCAGUAGGGAAUAUUGCUCAAUGGGGGAAACCCUGAAGCAGCAACGCCGCGUGGAGGAUGAAGGUUUUCGGAUUGUAAACUCCUUUUGUUAGAGAAGAUAAUGACGGUAUCUAACGAAUAAGCACCGGCUAACUCCGUGCCAGCAGCCGCGGUAAUACGGAGGGUGCAAGCGUUACUCGGAAUCACUGGGCGUAAUGAGCGCGUAGGCGGGAUAGCAAGUCAGAUGUGAAAUCCUAUGGCUUAACCAUAGAACUGCAUUUGAAACUGUUAUUCGAGAUUAUGGGAGAGGUAGGUGGAAUUCUGGGUGUAGGGGUAAAAUCCGUAGAGAUCAAGAGGAAGACUCAUGGCGAAGGCGACCUGAUAGAACAUAACUGACGCUGAUGCGCGAAAGCGUGGGGAGCAAACAGGAUUAGAUACCCGGGUAGUC
rnacentral:rRNA from 1 species